rnacentral:rRNA from 1 species
AUGAGAAGGAACUUGCCAAGACAGUUUGAAGAGCAGCCUGAUCUCGUGCAUGAGCUGGCACUGGCGGUGGCGGUUCCGCCAUUCAUGGCGGUGACCAUGGUGCAAGGUCCUUUGCGUGGUAUCCAAGUUUCUCCUUGCUCCUUCGUCGGCUUGCUUGAACACUACCUCCCUCGAAGUACCUGGUUUCUUAGAUUGUUACUGCUAGACCCGCACAAUGAGAACUGUGGUAUGGUGCCUCGAGUGUCUGAGCAUCUGUUCUUAAGAAUCCAGAAGGAAAAGGAAGAAAGAAGAGGAAAAAUACUCAGUUUUACUCGCAGAUGCUCAUUCCUGGAGAUAUGUAAUGGGCAGAUUUUGGACUUGCUCAAUCCAAAUCCAACAAAUUUACAGGACAAUCGUCAUUCAUUUCAUCCGUCGUGUACAUCUUGGAGAAUGGAAGCGCCAUACUUCAUGUCCCGAACCAACCGAUAUUCUGCAUGUUGGUCUGUGCCAGUUGCAUCUUGCUCUUCCUAA